rnacentral:rRNA from 1 species
CCUACGGGGCGCAGCAGUGAGGAAUAUUGGUCAAUGGCCGGAAGGCUGAACCAGCCAUGCCGCGUGAAGGUCAGUGCCCUAUGGGCGUUAAACUUCUUUUGUGCGGGAGCAAUAAUGGUCACGUGUGGCCAGACGAGAGUACCGUACGAAUAAGCAUCGGCUAACUCCGCGCCAGCAGCCGCGGUAAUACGGGGGAUCCGAGCGUUAUCCGGAUUUAUUGGGUUUAAAGGGUGCGUAGGCGGUUUGAUAAGUUAGAGGUGAAAUGUCGGGGCUCAACCCCGAAACUGCCUCUAAUACUGUUGGACUAGAGAAUAGUUGCGGUAGGCGGAAUGUAUGGUGUAGCGGUGAAAUGCUUAGAGAUCAUACAGAACACCGAUUGCGAAGGCAUCUCACGAAUCCGCGAUUGACGCUGAUGCACGAAAGCGUGGGUAUCAAACAGGAUUAGAUACCCCUGUAGUC